rnacentral:rRNA from 1 species
ACGGGAGGCAGCAGUGGGGGAUAUUGCACGAUGGGGGAAACCCUGAUGCAGCGACGCCGCGUGAGUGAAGAAGUAUUUCGGUAUGUAAAGCUCUAUCAGCAGGAAAGAUAAUGACGGUACCUGACUAAGAAGCACCGGCUAAAUACGUGCCAGCAGCCGCGGUAAUACGUAUGGUGCAAGCGUUAUCCGGAUUUACUGGGUGUAAAGGGAGCGUAGACGGCAUGGCAAGCCAGAUGUGAAAGGCAGGGGCUCAACUCCUGGACUGCAUUUGGAACUGUCAAGCUAGAGUAUCGGAGAGGUGAGUGGAAUUCCUUGUGUAGCGGUGAAAUGCGUAGAUAUAAGGAAGAACACCAGUGGCGAAGGCGAUCUACUGGACAGUAACUGACGCUGAGGCGCGAAAGCGUGGGGAGCAAACAGGAUUAGAUACCCUGGUA